rnacentral:rRNA from 1 species
UACGGGGGGGGCAAGCGUUGUUCGGAAUUACUGGGCGUAAAGGGCGCGUAGGCGGCCUGCUAAGUCACACGUGAAAUCCCUCGGCUCAACCGGGGAACUGCGUGUGAUACUGGCGGGCUUGAAUUCGGGAGAGGGAUGUGGAAUUCCAGGUGUAGCGGUGAAAUGCGUAGAUAUCUGGAGGAACACCGAUUGCGAAGGCAGCUCGCUGGGACGUUACUGACGCUGAGACGCGAAAGCGUGGGGAGCAAACAGG